rnacentral:rRNA from 1 species
GACGAACGCUGGCGGCGUGCUUAACACAUGCAAGUCGAACGGACGAGUGAGAUAAGUUUACUUAACUCACAAGUUAGUGGCGGACGGGUGAGUAACACGUGGAUAAUCUACCUGCAACACCGGGAUAACGCUGUGAAAACGGUGCUAAUACCGGAUACGUUCCCUUGUGCGCAUGUAUGAGGGAAGAAAGCUCAGGCGGUUGCAGAUGAGUCCGCGGCUGAUUAGCUAGUUGGUGAGGUAAAGGCUCACCAAGGCGAUGAUCAGUAGCCGGCCUGAGAGGGUGAACGGCCACACUGGGACUGAGACACGGCCCAGACUCCUACGGGAGGCAGCAGUGGGGAAUCUUCCGCAAUGGGCGCAAGCCUGACGGAGCAACGCCGCGUGGGUGAAGAAGGCCUUCGGUUGUAAGCCUGUCUUAUGGGUAAGAAGUCAGUGACGGUACCACUAGGAGGAAGGCCACGGCUAACUACGUAGCCAGCAGCCGCGGUAAGAGUAGUAAC